UACGUAGGGGGGCAAGCGUUGUCCGGAAUCAUUGGGCGUAAAGAGCGUGUAGGCGGCCCGAUAAGUCCGCCGUGAAAGUCCAGGGCUCAACCCUGGAAUGCCGGUGGAAACUGUCGGGCUGGAGUCCGGAAGAGGCGAGUGGAAUUCCUGGUGUAGCGGUGAAAUGCGCAGAUAUCAGGAGGAACACCAAUGGCGAAGGCAGCUCGCUGGGACGGUACUGACGCUGAGGCGCGAAAGCGUGGGGAGCAAACAGG
rnacentral:rRNA from 1 species